rnacentral:lncRNA from 1 species
GGGCUGCAGUCAUUUGAAGGCUUGACUGGGGCUGGAGGAUUUUCAUCCAAGAUGGCUCACUCACCCAGCUGUUGGCAGGAGACCUCGGUUCUUUGACUUCUCCGUAAGACUGUACGGAGUCUCACUCUGUUGCCAGGCUGGAGUGCAGUGGCACGAUCUCGGCUCACCACAACCUCUGCCACCUGGGUUCAAGCGAUUCUCCUGCCUCAGCCUCCUGAGUAGCUGGGAUUACAGCCUGAGUCGAAGCUGUUAAAGAGGCCAAGAAUUCCCAAGCUUUCCCAGGCAAACGGGGAAGAACACUGGGAUGCCUUUUCCUCCUCCUCUGUCCAUCUGCAGGCCAAGUGUGCAUCAGUCACAGGCAAACUCUGAAUUGAGCUUUGUGCAAGUCUCUGGAAAGAGACCCAAGAUCGUGUGAUGAGCAAAAGUGACAGUGCUGGUGGCAGCGACAUCUGCAGAGCCAGCCCCAUCCCUAU